UACGAAGGGGGGCUAGCGUUGCUCGGAAUCACUGGGCGUAAAGCGCACGUAGGCGGCUUACUAAGUCAGGGGUGAAAUCCUGGAGCUCAACUCCAGAACUGCCUUUGAUACUGGUGAGCUUGAGUCCGGAAGAGGUGAGUGGAACUGCGAGUGUAGAGGUGAAAUUCGUAGAUAUUAGGAAGAACACCGGUGGCGAAGGCGGCCCACUGGAUCGGUACUGACGCUGAGGUGCGAAAGCGUGGGGGAGCAAACAGG
rnacentral:rRNA from 1 species